rnacentral:rRNA from 1 species
GACGAACGCUGGCGGCGUGCUUAACACAUGCAAGUCGAACGGUGAACGAGGGAGCUUGCUCCCUCCGGAUCAGUGGCGAACGGGUGAGUAACACGUGAGCAAUCUGCCCCGAACUCUGGGAUAAGCGUUGGAAACGACGUCUAAUACCGGAUACGACGCGGGAGGGCAUCCUCUCCGCGUGGAAAGAACUUCGGUUCGGGAUGAGCUCGCGGCCUAUCAGCUUGUUGGUGAGGUAACGGCUCACCAAGGCGACGACGGGUAGCCGGCCUGAGAGGGUGACCGGCCACACUGGGACUGAGACACGGCCCAGACUCCUACGGGAGGCAGCAGUGGGGAAUACUGCACAAUGGGCGCAAGCCUGAUGCAGCAACGCCGCGUGAGGGACGACGGCCUUCGGGGUGUAAACCUCUUUUAGCAGGGAAGAAGCGAAAGUGACGGUACCUGCAGAAAAAGCACCGGCUAACUACGUG